rnacentral:lncRNA from 1 species
CCUUUGUAAUCAUCAAAACAGAUUUCAUCAUCUUCUUCCUCAUCCUCGUCUUUAACAUUUCCAUACUCACUAUAAUCCUCAGCAUCAGCGACAACAGGGAUGUCAGCAUCCUCCUCCCCAUCAUGAUCCUCAGCUUCAUGCCCCUCCUCAGCUUCAUCCCCCUCCUCAGCUUCAUGCCCCUCUUCAUUUUCAUCCCUCACAUCAGCUUCAUCCCCCUCCUCAGCUUCAUCCCCCUCCUCAGCCUCAUCUCCCACAUGAUCUUCAUCCCUAUCCUCUGAAACCGUUCUCAUCUUGCUAAAGCUUGAUGCACAAAG